UACGUAGGGUGCAAGCGUUGUCCGGAAUUAUUGGGCGUAAAGAGCUCGUAGGCGGUUCGUCGCGUCGGCUGUGAAAACCCGGAGCUCAACUCCGGGCCUGCAGUCGAUACGGGCGGACUUGAGUGUUGCAGGGGAGACUGGAAUUCCUGGUGUAGCGGUGAAAUGCGCAGAUAUCAGGAGGAACACCGGUGGCGAAGGCGGGUCUCGUAGGCAACUACUGACGCUGAGGAAGCGAA
rnacentral:rRNA from 1 species